rnacentral:tRNA from 1 species
GGUAGGAAUGGCUGAAUGAGGUAAGGCGAGAAGCCGUUCACGCAAAUGCUUCCAGUGAACGAAUUAUUGCGGGUUCAACUCCCGCUCCUGCCG